GACGAACGCUGGCGGCGUGCCUAAUACAUGCAAGUAGAACGCACAGUUUAUACCGUAGCUUGCUACACCAUAGACUGUGAGUUGCGAACGGGUGAGUAACGCGUAGGUAACCUGCCUGGUAGCGGGGGAUAACUAUUGGAAACGAUAGCUAAUACCGCAUAAUAUUGAUUAUUGCAUGAUAAUUGAUUGAAAGAUGCUAUUGCAUCACUACCAGAUGGACCUGCGUUGUAUUAGCUAGUAGGUGAGGUAACGGCUCACCUAGGCGACGAUACAUAGCCGACCUGAGAGGGUGAUCGGCCACACUGGGACGGAGACACGGCCCAGACUCCUACGGGAGGCAUCAGUAGGGAAUCUUCGGCAAUGGACGAAAGUCUGACCGAGCAACGCCGCGUGAGUGAAGAAGGUUGUCGGAUCGUAAAGCUCUGUUGUAAGAGAAGAACGGGUGUGAGAGUGGAAAGUUCACACUGUGACGGUAUCUGACCAGAAAGGGACGGCUAACUACGUG
rnacentral:rRNA from 1 species